AUUGAACGCUGGCGGCAUGAUUUACACAUGCAAGUCGAACGGUAACAGGCCGCAAGGUGCUGACGAGUGGCGAACGGGUGAGUAAUGCAUCGGAACGUGCCCAGUCGUGGGGGAUAACUACUCGAAAGAGUAGCUAAUACCGCAUACGAUCUAUGGAUGAAAGCGGGGGACCGUAAGGCCUCGCGCGAUUGGAGCGGCCGAUGUCAGAUUAGGUAGUUGGUGGGGUAAAGGCUCACCAAGCCAACGAUCUGUAGCUGGUCUGAGAGGACGACCAGCCACACUGGGACUGAGACACGGCCCAGACUCCUACGGGAGGCAGCAGUGGGGAAUUUUGGACAAUGGGCGCAAGCCUGAUCCAGCAAUGCCGCGUGCAGGAAGAAGGCCUUCGGGUUGUAAACUGCUUUUGUACGGAACGAAACGGCUCCGGUUAAUACCCGGGGCUAAUGACGGUACCGUAAGAAUAAGCACCGGCUAACUACGUG
rnacentral:rRNA from 1 species